UCCUACGGGAGGCAGCAGUGGGGAAUAUUGCGCAAUGGGCGAAAGCCUGACGCAGCGACGCCGCGUGAGGGAUGAAGGCCUUCGGGUUGUAAACCUCUUUCAGCAGGGACGAAGACAGACGGUACCUGCAGAAGAAGCACCGGCCAACUACGUGCCAGCAGCCGCGGUAAUACGUAGGGUGCAAGCGUUGUCCGGAAUUAUUGGGCGUAAAGAGCUCGUAGGCGGUUUGUCGCGUCGGCUGUGAAAACUCGGAGCUCAACUCCGGGUCUGCAGUCGAUACGGGCAAACUGGAGUACUGCAGGGGAGACUGGAAUUCCUGGUGUAGCGGUGAAAUGCGCAGAUAUCAGGAGGAACACCGGUGGCGAAGGCGGGUCUCUGGGCAGUAACUGACGCUGAGGAGCGAAAGCGUGGGGAGCGAACAGGAUUAGAUACCCUGGUAGUCCACGCCGUAAACGUUGGGCGCUAGGUGUGGGGCUCAUUCCACGAGUUCCGUGCCGCAGCUAACGCAUUAAGCGCCCCGCCUGGGGAGUACGGCCGCAAGGCUAAAACUCAAAGGAAUUGACGGGGGCCCGCACAAGCGGCGGAGCAUGUUGCUUAAUUCGAUGCAACGCGAAGGACCUUACCUAGGCUUGACAUGCACGGAAAUCCUCCAGAGAUGCUGGGUCCGUAAGGGUCGUGCACAGGUGGUGCAUGGUUGUCGUCAGCUCGUGUCGUGAGAUGUUGGGUUAAGUCCCGCAACGAGCGCAACCCUCGUUCUAUGUUGCCAGCACGUCAUGGUGGGGACUCAUAGGAGACUGCCGGGGUCAACUCGGAGGAAGGUGGGGAUGACGUCAAAUCAUCAUGCCCCUUAUGUCUAGGGCUGCAAACAUGCUACAAUGGCCGGUACAAAGGGCUGCGAUACCGUAAGGUGGAGCGAAUCCCAAAAAGCCGGUCUCAGUUCGGAUUGGAGUCUGCAACUCGACCCCAUGAAGUUGGAGUCGCUAGUAAUCGCAGAUCAGCAUUGCUGCGGGGCCUUCGUUCCCGGGCCUUGUACACACCG
rnacentral:rRNA from 1 species